UCCCUGGGGUAGUAUAGUUCUGUCCGACCCCCAGUGCAGAGUGGUGGCUAAAGAAUGCCACAACUGAGUCCCUAUUGUUGUGUUCCUUGUCCACUCCCUGUAUCUAUUCUUCCUAUUAUUCUUAUUAUUAUACCCUAUCCAUUUCUAAGGCUCUGUUCGCCUGGGAACGCUAAGCAGAGUGUCAAAAGUAAAACUAUGGUAACUGUCAAAUUAUAAAACAGCCUGAAGUACAAAAUGACACCGAAAUUAUUAUAAAGCUGUCUUUUAAAAAUAUAAAUCUCACACUAACUUAAUAUAAUUGACAGUUUUAUGUUUCUUGUAAUUGUUUUCUUACUCAAAUCUUUUAUAUAGGGAUUAAUUGUCCUCCAGCAUAUGACAGUGGAUUAAUCAUUUAUGAAAGUACAUUCUCUCUCUCUAAAUCAGAGCUGUGAACCUCGAAUUGCCGGGCAAGGGCUAGGACUGGGUGAUUCUUUCUUUCCAGGCUGCUGGAACUCCCUCUUGUGAACAAAGUAUGACUUCCCUCUUUCAGAACAAAGUAACUUAAAGAAAUGGAUAAAAAAAUAGCCAGGGGAUCAGGCUUGACAGUUUCACAGCAUUUCCUAUAGUGUUUUUUAUUUUUUAUUUUCCCUUCUAUAAACCCAUAAGAAAGGAGCAUCUGUAAAGUCAGUUCUCAGAUGAACGUCCUUUGUGCUCUCAAAACACAAUUCCUCAACACCCCCUUGCCCCCCAAAAAACACUGGAGGGAUACAGUAGAAGAAACUAAAUCGGACAGAAUAGCGGGCUGUGGAGUGGAAGGUUGGUCCCUGCUCCUAGUGUAGUACACAAUUACUUUUGUCUAGGUGCCCAUAUGGGUAUUUCUCAUUGUAGUAACAUUAUUGGGGAUAUUUGGAGAAAAAGGCAGUGUCCAGGGCCGCUGGAGCCAGUGGAGAAUUCACGCCCUUUUCUGCCUCACGCACAUUGUUCUGUGCUCUCCUGCUUUCCUCCGGCCAAAGGAAGAGGGAGAGCAAUGGCUCCCAGUUUUCACUGGAAGUGCAGAUGCUGCUGUUGGGGGUACUGAGAAAGUCUUCAAACCAGGGUGACACCGCAUGGCAUUCAGGUGCCCCCUUCUAAGAAAGCAGAUCGGCCCAGAGACUCCGAAUCAGGGGCACAAGAAAUAUACCCGUGCAAGAAGCUUUAAACCCUGGGAACCGGAUUACGGAGCUGCAAAUGUUUCUCCUUCACAGAGGCUAGUGAAGAUUAGAAGGAGAAAACGGUGAACUUGGGAUGAUAUGUUCUCGGAGCUCCAGAUGUCCUCCCACUCUGUCAGAGCACAGCAGAAUGCGUGGAGGCAGUCAAUGUCAGAGUGCAAAAAAGCACAAUAUGAAUGAGAGGAGAGGUGGCGGGCUGAAUUGUGGGCUGAAGAGAGCAAGUGGCGGGCUGAAGAGGAUAGGUGGCGUCAGCUGGCUGACAGAAGGCAAGAGUCGAUGCUCUGGCUGCUGGAGCAUCAAACUGAUAUGCUCCAGCAUAUGGUUGAGCUGCAGGAAAGGCAGCAGGAGCAGAGACCGCUGCCACAGCCCCUGUGUAACCAACAGCCCUCCUCCCCAAGUUCCAUAGCCUCGUCACCCAAACGCCCAAGAACGCGGUGGAGGGGCCUCCGGCCACCCAGUCUCUCCACCCCAGAUGAUUGCCCAAGCAUCAGAAGGCUGGCCUUCAAUAAGAGUUAAAGUUUUAAAGUUUUAAACUGCAGUGUGUCCUUUUCCUUCCCUCCUCCCCCACCCCUCCCGGGCUACCUUGGCAGUUAUCCCCCUAGUUGUGUGAUGAAUUAAUAAAGAAUGCAUGAAUGUGAA